AUUAAACGCUGGCGGCAUGCCUUACACAUGCAAGUCGAACGGUAGCGCGGGGCAACCUGGCGACGAGUGGCGAACGGGUGAGUAAAGCAUCGGAACGUGCCCUGGAAUGGGGGAUAACGUAGCGAAAGUUACGCUAAUACCGCAUAUUCUGUGAGCAGGAAAGCAGGGGAUCGCAAGACCUUGCGUUCUGGGAGCGGCCGAUGUCGGAUUAGCUAGUUGGUGGGGUAAAGGCCUACCAAGGCGACGAUCCGUAGCGGGUCUGAGAGGAUGAUCCGCCACACUGGGACUGAGACACGGCCCAGACUCCUACGGGAGGCAGCAGUGGGGAAUUUUGGACAAUGGGCGGAAGCCUGAUCCAGCCAUGCCGCGUGAGUGAAGAAGGCCUCGGUUGGUUAAAGGUAC
rnacentral:rRNA from 1 species